UGCACAAGUGGGCGGAAGCGAGUGAAAGACGAGGGAGCCAAGGGUUGUCCGGUGUCAUUGGGCGUAAAGGGCUGGUAGGCGGGUCGAGAAGGCGGGUGUGAAACCUCCAGGCUCAACCGGGGGACGCCACCCGAUACGGGUGGGACUAGAGUCCAGUAGGGGAGCGUGGAAUGCCUGGUGUAGCGGUGAAAUGCGCAGAUAUCAGGAGGAACACCAGCGGCGAAGGCGGCGCUCUGGGCUGGCACUGACGCUGAGGAGCGAAAGCGUGGGGAGCGAACAGGAUUAGAUACCCCUGUAGUC
rnacentral:rRNA from 1 species